rfam:Piloderma croceum F 1598 unplaced genomic scaffold scaffold_00039, whole genome shotgun sequence.
GGCGCUAUAGCCAAGUGGUUACGGCGAUUGAUUCGAACAACCCGAAUUAUCAAUUCCUCUUGUAGGGCGCAGGUUCGAAUCCUGCUGGCGUCG